rnacentral:tRNA from 2 species
GUUGAUUUAGCUCAGAAGGUAGAGCACUACCUUGAAGCGGUAGGUUGCGGUGGUUCGAUUCCAUCAAUCAGCA